GCGGUAAUACGAAGGGGGCUAGCGUUGUUCGGAAUCACUGGGCGUAAAGCGUAUGUAGGCGGAUCAAAAAGUUAGAUGUGAAAUCCCUGGGCUCAACCCAGGAACUGCAUUUAAAACUAGUGAUCUAGAAUUUGGUAAAGGUUAGUAGAAUUUCCAGUGUAGAGGUGAAAUUCGUAGAUAUUGGAAAGAAUACCAGAAGCGAAGGCGACUAACUAGGCCAUUUUUGACGCUGAGAUACGAAAGCGUGUGUAGCAAACAGGAUUAGAUACCCUGGUAGUCCACGCAGUAAACGAUGAGUGCUAGUCGCUGGUACAAUAGUAUCAGUGUCGAAGCUAACGCAUUAAGCACUCCGCCUGGGAAGUACGGUCGCAAGAUUAAAACUCAAAUAAAUUGACGGGGGCCCGCACAAGCGGUGGAGCAUGUGGUUUAAUUCGAAGCAACGCGAGGAACCUUACCAGGGCUUAAAUGGAAAAUGACAGGGGCAGAGACGCCCCCUUCUUCGGACAUUUUCAAGGUGCUGCAUGGUU
rnacentral:rRNA from 1 species